UACGGAGGGUGCAAGCGUUGUCCGGAAUCACUGGGCGUAAAGGGCGCGUAGGCGGCUCAUGAAGGCUGUGGUGAAAGCCCGGGGCUCAACCCCCGGGUCGGCCGUGCGGACUGGCGUGCUCGAGCACUGUAGGGGCGGGUGGAAUUCCGGGUGUAGCGGUGGAAUGCGUAGAGAUCCGGAAGAACACCGGUGGCGAAGGCGGCCCGCUGGGCAGGAAGACACCGCAAGGUGUCGGCUGACGCUGAGGCGCGACAGCGUGGGGAGCAAACAGG
rnacentral:rRNA from 1 species